GCAAGCUAAAUUAACCUACUGUUGUUAACUGGCAAUGCAGCGACCGCUCGCAGUACGUGGCCAGCACAGUCAUCGUGCUGUGCAUCGUAGCCCUGGCGCUGGGCUACAUCUUCACGACGACAGAUCGUGCCGGCCCGACAUCGACUGCCGUCACGACUGCGGGGUCUCCAGCAUAGCUGGAAACAACUAACCCUACGACUACGAAGGCUCCAGACAUUCCAGGCACGGUCAUAUGCAUCACAACUGGGAUCAAGGUAGACAAUGAGAUCAACAAGACCAAGAAGGCUUUCAAUGAGCUGUGUUCGAAAAUUUUGGUUUUGUUCAACUAUGACGCAACGAAAAACUUGACGCAGAGCUCCGAGACAAGUGGCAAA